GACGUAGGAUGCAAGCGUUGUCCGGAUUUAUUGGGCGUAAAGAGUUCGUAGGUGGUUUGUUAAGUCUGAUGUUAAAGAUCGGGGCCCAACCCCGGGAGUGCAUUGGAUACUGGCAGACUGGAGUGUAGUAGAGGCAAGCGGAAUUCCCAGUGUAGCGGUGAAAUGCGUAGAUAUUGGGAAGAACACCAGUGGCGUAAGCGGCUUGCUGGGCUAUAACUGACACUGAGGAACGAAAGCCAGGGGAGCGAAUGGG
rnacentral:rRNA from 1 species